rnacentral:hammerhead_ribozyme from 1 species
GUACUGAUGAAGAGUUCCAAACUAGGACGAAACGGCUGUCAAGUAC